rnacentral:misc_RNA from 1 species
GAUGAAGAACGUAGCGAAAUGCGAUACUUGGUGUGAAUUGCAGAAUCCCGUGAACCAUCGAGUCUUUGAACGCAAGUUGCGCCCGAAGCCACUAGGCCGAGGGCACGCCUGCCUGGGCGUCACACGCCGUUGCCCCCCCAUCUACUCCUUCGGGAUUGCGGGGGGGCGGAUGAUGGCCUCCUGUGCGCCUAGCCGCGCGGUUGGCAUAAAUACCAAGUCCUCGGCGACGCACGCCACGACAAUCGGUGGUUGCGAAACCUCGGUUGCCCGUCGUGUGCGUUCGUCGCGCAUCGAGGGCUCGAAAAAAUGCUCGGCUCCGGCUGGGCUUUCAACGCGACCCCAGGUCAGGCGGGGUUACCCGCUGAAUUUAAGCAUAUCAAUAGCGGAGGA